ensembl:snoRNA small nucleolar RNA SNORD19
UGGAAAUGAGGACAAAAUGCAAUUCUGGAUUCAUUAUGGAGACUAAUAAUCCAACUCUGAUCCAAACACUGAG